rnacentral:rRNA from 1 species
GACAGGCGUAGUCGAUGGACAACGGGUUGAUAUUCCCGUACCGGCGAAACAACGCCCGUGCUGAGGCGCGCGAUGCUAAGCAUGCGAGACUGUCUGUUGCCUUUCGGGGUGGCGGGUGGUUGAGUCUGUGACCCGAGUGUGUAGUAGGCAAGCUGCGGAGGGACGCAGGAAGGUAGCUCAUCCUCACGCGUUGGUUGUCUGAGGCUAAGUGUGUAGGGUGGGAUGUAGGUAAAUCCGCAUUCCGUGAUGCCUGAGACAUGAUGGGCCCGCACCUUUGGUGGUGCGGGUUGAGUGAUCCUAUGCUGCCUAGAAAAGCUUCGUUAGCGAGUUGUUAGCCGCCCGUACCCUAAACCGACACAGGUGGAUAGGUAGAGUAUACCGAGGCGAUCGGGAUAAUCGUGGUGAAGGAACUCGGCAAAAUACCCCCGUAACUUCGGGAUAAGGGGGACCUGAAGCGUAUUAGACUUUUGCGUUGAAAGCGUUGAGGGUCGCAGAGACCAGGCCCAAGCGACUGUUUACUAAAAACACAGGUCCGUGCCAACUCGUAAGAGGAUGUAUACGGACUGACUCCUGCCCGGUGCUGGAAGGUUAAGGGGAACUGUCAGCCACCUUGUGUGGUGAAGCGGUGAACUUAAGCCCCAGUAAACGGCGGUGGUAACUAUAACCAUCCUAAGGUAGCGAAAUUCCUUGUCGGGUAAGUUCCGACCUGCACGAAUGGAGUAACGAUUUGGGCGCUGUCUCCACCACGAACCCGGUGAAAUUGCAUUACGAGUAAAGAUGCUCGUUACGCGCAGCAGGACGGAAAGACCCCGGGACCUUUACUAUAGUUUGGUAUUGGUGAUCGGUGUGACUUGUGUAGGAUAGGUGGGAGACUGUGAAGCCGGGACGCUAGUUUCGGUGGAGUCGCCGUUGAAAUACCACUCUGGUCACUCUGGUUAUCUAACCUAGGACCGUUAUCCGGUUCAGGGACAGUGCCUGAUGGGUAGUUUGACUGGGGCGGUCGCCUCCUAAAAGGUAACGGAGGCGCCCAAAGGUUCCCUCAGCCUGGUUGGCAAUCAGGUGUUGAGUGUAAGUGCACAAGGGAGCUUGACUGUGAGACUGACGGGUCGAGCAGGGACGAAAGUCGGGACUAGUGAUCUUCUGGUAGCGAAUGGAAGCGCCAGGACUCAACGGAUAAAAGGUACCCCGGGGAUAACAGGCUGAUCUUGCCCGAGCGUCCAUAGCGACGGCAUGGUUUGGCACCUCGAUGUCGGCUCGUCGCAUCCUGGGGCUGGAGUCGGUCCCAAGGGUUGGGCUGUUCGCCCAUUAAAGCGGCACGCGAGCUGGGUUUAGAACGUCGUGAGACAGUUCGGUCCCUAUCCGCUGCGCGCGUAGGAGUCUUGAGAAGGGCUGUCCUUAGUACGAGAGGACCGGGACGGACCAACCUCUGGUGUGCCAGUUGUUCCGCCAGGAGCACGGCUGGUUGGCUACGUUGGGAAGUGAUAACCGCUGAAAGCAUCUAAGCGGGAAGCACGCUUCAAGAUGAG